rnacentral:rRNA from 1 species
UUCCGGUUGAUCCUGCCGGACCUGACUGCUAUCGGAUUGAUACUAAGCCAUGCGAGUCUUUGCAGUAAUGCAAGGCAUACGGCUCAGUAACACGUAGUCAACUUACCCUAUGGACGAGGAUAAUCUCGGGAAACUGAGCAUAAUACUCGAUAGAUCAUAAUGCCUGGAAUGGUUUAUGGUUAAAAUGAUUCGUCGCCAUAGGAUGGGACUGCGGCCUAUCAGCUUGUUGGUGAGGUAAUGGCCCACCAAGGCGAUUACAGGUACGGGCUCUGAGAGGAGAAGCCCGGAGAUGGGUACUGAGACAAGGACCCAGGCCCUAUGGGGCGCAGCAGGCGAGAAAACUUUGCAAUGUGCGAAAGCACGACAAGGUUAAUCCGAGUGAUUUCUGCUAAAGAAAUCUUUUGCAAGUCAUAAAACCACUAGUGAAUAAGGGGUGGGCAAGUUCUGGUGUCAGCCGCCGCGGUAAAACCAGCACCUCAAGUGGUCAGGAGGAUUAUUGGGCCUAAAGCAUCCGUAGCCUGCUCUGUAAGUUUUCGGUUAAAUCCAUGUGCUCAACGCAUGGGCUGCCGAAAAUACUGCAUAGCUAGGGAGUGGGAGAGGUAGACGGUACUCGGUAGGAAGGGGUAAAAUCCUUUGAUCUAUCGAUGACCACCUGUGGCGAAGGCGGUCUACCAGAACACGUUCGACGGUGAGGGAUGAAAGCUGGGGGAGCAAACCGGAUUAGAUACCCGGGUAGUCCCAGCUGUAAACGAUGCAGACUCGAUGAUGCAUUGGCAUAUAGCCAGUGCAGUGUCGCAGGGAAGCCGUUAAGUCUGCCGCCUGGGAAGUACGUACGCAAGUAUGAAACUUAAAGGAAUUGGCGGGGGAGCACCACAAGGGGUGAAGCCUGCGGUUCAAUUGGAUUCAACGCCGGG